rnacentral:rRNA from 1 species
UAGUGAGAGAAUAGAAGUGAAACAAUCUCACUUGAAUUCAAGGAUCAGAAAAGAAACUAACAAUAACUAGGAUUCCUUGAGUGAUAGCGAGUGAACCGAGAAGACCUCAGACUGAAAAUCCUUCG